UACGAAGGGGGCUAGCGUUGCUCGGAAUCACUGGGCGUAAAGCGCACGUAGGCGGAUCGUUAAGUCAGGGGUGAAAUCCUGGAGCUCAACUCCAGAACUGCCUUUGAUACUGGCGACCUUGAGUUCGGGAGAGGUGAGUGGAACUGCGAGUGUAGAGGUGAAAUUCGUAGAUAUUCGCAAGAACACCAGUGGCGAAGGCGGCUCACUGGCCCGAUACUGACGCUGAGGUGCGAAAGCGUGGGGAGCAAACAGG
rnacentral:rRNA from 1 species